GUUUAUUGUUUUUGUUAAGUUUUCACUAUUAAUAAAUUAUGUGGACCUCAACAUUCACUGCGCCUUGGUCCGUCUCUACAAACGAUCGUGACAGAAGGACCCCACAGAGACGAAUGAAGGAUGCCAACUUGUCCACUCUGCCCGGGCAGGCUGCACAAACUUCUGCAUGUCCGCAGAAGGUCCCCCUUGCCAUUUUAAUUGUGUGGAAAUAAGCUCUUAACAGCAAAAGCAAUGACGAGACCUUCAUGCUGCCCGUCUCUGUGUGAUUGAAGAAGGCAAUGAGCUCUGUCGGGUCUUUUUAAAAAUGGCAGGUGGGGAAGCAAAACCUACUGCGUGAUUGGGAAAAGGGGAAACAGCUUUAUUCACCCGAUCUGUCCAACUUAUCACCUCUAAAAUGUCAAUAAAACACUCUAAAGAGUUUAUAUAAUGUAUAGUUACAUACCUAUUUGAAGGUUUGU